UGUUCACUUUUCUUCUAAAUUUUUUAAAUUGCAGACACAGUGGGGUCACUCGAGCUAUUUUCAUGUAAAGUAGCUACACCAUUAUUAAUAGGUUUACAAAGCUGUUUUUCAUUCGAGGUGUUGACGCUGUUGUUUUGCCUCGCAAAAUGUAAAGUAAAUUCAAGUCGCCUAUCUUUGCCUAAUUCGACUGUACGUGGUAAUAAUUUAAAGGAAGAGUUGCGUCCAAGACGAAGAACCUAAAGACGAGGGAAUCUGUCACAGAAGUUAAGGUCAGAUAAAAAUUCCACUGCAUUUGAUAAUAUUGCCGAGAUUUCAUUUGCGUAGU